rnacentral:rRNA from 1 species
UAUGGGGGGACCAUCCUCCAAGGCUAAAUACUCCUGACUGACCGAUAGUGAACCAGUACCGUGAGGGAAAGGCGAAAAGAACCCCUGUGAGGGGAGUGAAAUAGAACCUGAAACCGUGUACGUACAAGCAGUAGGAGCACCUUCGUGGUGUGACUGCGUACCUUUUGUAUAAUGGGUCAGCGACUUAUAUUCAGUGGCAAGGUUAACCGUAUAGGGGAGCCGUAGCGAAAGCGAGUCUUAACUGGGCGCUCAGUCUCUGGAUAUAGACCCGAAACCGGGUGAUCUAGCCAUGGGCAGGUUGAAGGUUGAGUAACAUCAACUGGAGGACCGAACCGACUAAUGUUGAAAAAUUAGCGGAUGACUUGUGGCUAGGGGUGAAAGGCCAAUCAAACUCGGAGAUAGCUGGUUCUCCCCGAAAGCUAUUUAGGUAGCGCCUCGGACGAAUACUACUGGGGGUAGAGCACUGUUAAGGCUAGGGGGUCAUCCCGACUUACCAACCCUUUGCAAACUCCGAAUACCAGUAAGUACUAUCCGGGAGACACACGGCGGGUGCUAACGUCCGUCGUGGAGAGGGAAACAACCCAGACCGCCAGCUAAGGUCCCAAAGUAUUGCUAAGUGGGAAACGAUGUGGGAAGGCUCAGACAGCUAGGAUGUUGGCUUAGAAGCAGCCAUCAUUUAAAGAAAGCGUAAUAGCUCACUAGUCGAGUCGGCCUGCGCGGAAGAUGUAACGGGGCUAAGCAAUACACCGAAGCUGCGGCAAUGUCUUUUAGACAUUGGGUAGGGGAGCGUUCUGUAAGCCGUUGAAGGUGAAUCGUAAGGUUUGCUGGAGGUAUCAGAAGUGCGAAUGCUGACAUGAGUAACGACAAAGGGGGUGAAAAACCUCCUCGCCGGAAGACCAAGGGUUCCUGUCCAACGUUAAUCGGGGCAGGGUGAGUCGACCCCUAAGGUGAGGCCGAAAGGCGUAAUCGAUGGGAAACGGGUUAAUAUUCCCGUACUUCUGACUAUUGCGAUGGGGGGACGGAGAAGGCUAGGUGGGCCAGGCGACGGUUGUCCUGGUUCAAGUGCGUAGGCUUGAGAGUUAGGUAAAUCCGGCUCUCUCUAAGGCUGAGACACGACGUCGAGCUACUACGGUAGUGAAGUCAUUGAUGCCAUGCUUCCAGGAAAAGCCUCUAAGCUUCAGAUAGUCAGGAAUCGUACCCCAAACCGACACAGGUGGUCGGGUAGAGAAUACCAAGGCGCUUGAGAGAACUCGGGUGAAGGAACUAGGCAAAAUGGUACCGUAACUUCGGGAGAAGGUACGCUCUUGAUGGUGAAGUCCCUCGCGGAUGGAGCUGACGAGAGUCGCAGAUACCAGGUGGCUGCAACUGUUUAUUAAAAACACAGCACUGUGCAAAAUCGCAAGAUGACGUAUACGGUGUGACGCCUGCCCGGUGCCGGAAGGUUAAUUGAUGGGGUUAGCGCAAGCGAAGCUCUUGAUCGAAGCCCCGGUAAACGGCGGCCGUAACUAUAACGGUCCUAAGGUAGCGAAAUUCCUUGUCGGGUAAGUUCCGACCUGCACGAAUGGCGUAAUGAUGGCCACGCUGUCUCCACCCGAGACUCAGUGAAAUUGAAAUCGCUGUGAAGAUGCAGUGUACCCGCGGCUAGACGGAAAGACCCCGUGAACCUUUACUACAGCUUGGCACUGAACAUUGAACCUACAUGUGUAGGAUAGGUGGGAGGCUAUGAAGACGUGACGCCAGUUGCGUUGGAGCCGUCCUUGAAAUACCACCCUUGUAUGU